rnacentral:lncRNA from 1 species
AAGGCAGCUGAUGUCUCAAGCAGCUGGAUACUGUGGCGAUGGGAAUCAGACGAGGAGACCGCAGUCAAAAAGAAAGUUACUCAGCAACUGAUUUCCUCUCUUUGGACUGAAAAAUUAAACAGAUACUAAAUUAUGACAGUGAAUUUAGAAAGGAGGGCUCCAAGGGCUUGAAAGAACAUAUCUGGGAUGAUAUGAUGCUUCUAAGAGUACUGCAAUCACAUUGUGGCGAUCACCGGAGCAUGCCGCAUAACUACCUCCUUGGCUAAUCUGCUGUCUUCUUGGUGAUGACUAAUCCUCUUCUAUUAAACAGCAGUAAUGCUGGAAGAACUCAACUGUACAAGUGUAAUGAAGCCAGUAUUCUCCCUGGACAGAUUAGCUACAACUGACUUGACACAUACCAUCAUAAGGGCUUCAAACCUGACAAACUCUGUGCUUGCUUCUGAUUUAUGCCAUCAAGCUCCUCAGAGAAGGGAUGGAAUCCAAGUGUUCCGCUUGGUAGUACUGAUGUGCUUAACUGCCAGUUAAGGAAAGUUGCCCCUCCCCCUCACAUCCCCGCCCCUUGUGCCACCAGAACAAGGGUCCUGCGCCGUGUGCUAUCAUCAAAGAGCCGAGGCCUGUCGCUCUCUCCUGCUUGUGGUUUAGGGAAAUUUGAGCAAAGGAACUGCUUCUACAGUCUCCCAGCUGCCUCUUCACCCCUUGAGGAUGUCCAGGUUUUGUGAUUUUGUGUGGGGUGG